AACUAGUUGGCACUGUUGGCAGCACUGCGUCCGAGUCCGUACAUUAAAGUUAUAUGCGAUUCACGUUAGAACUCGUUCUCUGCGUUCGGUCAUUAUUGUGUGGCUUGGCUGGUGAAGGCGGCAAAUGGAAUUGAUUUUCACAUUCCUAUUGUUUUCGGGAGAUUUGUAGCGACAUUAUGUAUAUAAAAAAAACUUAGUAAACGUGUUUUCGUAAUAAAUAGUGCAAUGGCAGACGGUCAAGACGAGACCUCCGCUGAUCCUAUGAGUGACUAUUUGCGCUUAUGGGGUCUUGAAAUGUACAUAAAUUUGUUCAAAGCAUAAUAUCCAUGAUGAUAGCAUCCCUGCAUCAUCGCAUCAUCAAAUGCUGUGUGUAUCAAUAACUUGCCAAUCCUUACUGAUAGCACCAUACAUUACCUACUAGUAUAUUGCUGAAUCAGGACUUGAAAACUUACAGAACUUGGACAAAUAUACAGAAUGAGGAAGUACCAAACUUAAAUACAAAUGGAGUAUACAACACUUUGAGUUCAUGUAAUGAAGGAAAAGGACUACUUCUUCGCUACAAAGAAAGUGGAAUGAAUUCCUGAAAGUUAAUUCUUCUAAGUAUCUUCGCCGCGCCUCUCCUCGUGUGCACUGAAUUAUAUAAAAUGAAGAAAACAGACUAUGAUUGUUAUGUUAAAUUUAAAACUCAAGUAAUGUGUUUGACAUUAAUUUGGGCUAAGCAAUGUCUUAUUAAUAUUUGGUUAACUAUUCUUUAUUUUUAUUAGCCCUAUUUAUGUUUUAUAAUAUAUUGGUGUUUGAUUACCAGUUAUUAUACAAUGGAGAUACUACAGCGUAGGUAUGUAACUUA